rnacentral:lncRNA from 1 species
AAACCUGAAGCCUAGCCAAGCUGUUGUUUUAACAGAGCAAUAAAAAUGAAUUAUGAGUAACCGCCUCCUAGCUUAAUGGUUUUAGACGGGGAUCCCCAGCCCGAUCAAAUACGUAAGAGUUUUUUUUUUAUUAUUUGUGCAAGUGUUCCUGCAAUUGAUCUCUUUGAUGACAUUCUCAUUCACAGAAAGCAUUUGAUUUAUGAGUUUAGGAAGAAUUGCAUCCAGU